UAAUCCCCCUUUUCCUUCCCUUUCCAGUCAAGGGACACAGCUGUAGGCCAGAGUGGGCAGGAAGAGCCACCCAGUGGAAAGAAAAGUGGCAAAGUAAUUCCUGUCCCACAGGAGGAGGAAGAAAGGCCAAAACAACGGACCUGCAUUUCAGAAGCACAGCCUGAGCAAAAGAGACGUUUCUCUCCAGGCUGUGCCAAUCCAAGUGAGGAAAAGUGUGGCUAUUACCUCAGUUGAACCUUCAGCCUUUGUGGUGGGCCAGGGAGAAGGAGCUUUGCAAAGAAGGGGAUGAAGCACCGGGCAGGAUUCCUGAAAGGAACUUUGAUGUUCUCACU
rnacentral:lncRNA from 1 species